rnacentral:lncRNA from 1 species
CACACCAAUUAGGUUAGAGGUUUAAUAUUGGUAAAAAGGUUUUCUUUAAACAAAUACGGUAAGAAUAAUUUUAACAUACAAAGGCUUUAGAUUGUUAUUAAAAAUUGUGGUUUUUCCCUUUUUAUAAAAUUCUUAUUCAAAACUUUUAGAUAUAAAUAAUAUAUAAAAUAAAUAUUAAACAAUAAAGUAAAAUAAAGAGCCAAGUAAACAAAUAAAUAAAACAAGUUAAGAUUAAGAAAGGAAGCCUGGUAUAGUGAAAGCACGUCAAAGACGCUGUCCUAAAGCCUUUGUAGCCUCCCUACGUGUAGGUAAUGACGGUCUACAAGACUCCAAGAUACGACCCCAAUACGCAGGCUUAAGAUCCGCUAUGAGCACGUUCACAGUCGAAUAGAAAACUCCAAGCCACAGAACCGUUGCCCAAAAAUAAUAUAGAAAGUAUGGAAUAUGUGAAAGUAUGAGAAUAGAGAAAUCUGAUUGUAGUAUUUUGAAAUAUGAAGGAGGAGUGGCCUUUUAUAGGCAUCUGAAACUCGUAACCUCCAAACAUAUUUAACCAUAAAAGUUGGUGGCAAUGAAUAGAAAAUAAAAAUUAAAAAUUAAACAAUUUGUAACUCCUAUAAUAA